CCGGCGCACGGGUGAGUAACGCGUAUACAAUUUGCCUUUUACUGAAGAAUAGCCCAGAGAAAUUUGGAUUAAUGCUCAUAGUAUUAUUUGGUCACCUGGCCGAGUAAUUAAAGCUCCGGCGGUAAAAGAUGAGUAUGCGUCCUAUUAGCUAGAUGGUAAGGUAACGGCUUACCAUGGCGACGAUAGGUAGGGGUCCUGAGAGGGAGAUCCCCCACACUGGUACUGAGACACGGACCAG
rnacentral:rRNA from 1 species